AUAAGAAAUUCGGAAGAUAAUUUAAUAUGGCAAAGAGUUGAUGGAUUGAUGCUAAUGUGAAGAAGGUCAAUACAUUCAUACCACUAACAUUUGAGGUCGAGGAUGUGAGCUGUUCCAAUAGAUCCAACUGGGUGCGCGCAGAAGACUCUAAAAGAAAGGAACAAAUAGAACAUGAAGCAUGCGGAAUGGAUAAAGAAAAGCUUCAAAUUUCACAUGGAAAGGAUGAGCAAAAUGAACAAAGUAAAGAUCAUGAUCAUGCAGAAUAAACAGGCAAAAUAUAUGCAGGUAGGAGAAGUAGCUACUUGAAAAGGAAUCAACUGAGAAAGCUAAAAUUAAUAAGAAUGGCGAAGUGAGACUUCGUAAUAUGCUGAUGAUGGCUAAUUUGUGAACUUCCCUGUAGCAGUUAUUUCAAUUGGUAGAUCAAGGGGCAAAAGUGCUUUUCUGAGGAGUUAUGGGGCCUCAAUGGGAUUGAGUAGCUCUUUGUUGGGAACCUCUCUAGAGUCUGAAUCCUCAGAGGUGAUGUUGGGAGAGGGGAGGAAGGAGAGAAGUUCCAGGCCAUGGAUUCUUUUGGAAGUUGUGAGAGGUUUCUUUUUCUCCUCUUUUUGCUUAACACAUAAACUUAUGUUUCUUUCAUUUAUAUGUAUUUGAGAGAAUUUACCUGGUUAUGUUGAGCUUACUGUGUGGACCACAUAAAAGCUCAAAGGAGGAGCACCACAUAUUUGUGGCCUUAUUUAAGGUUUAAAGGGCUUCUGGAGGAAGGCCGGGUCCCCUAGACCUCUACUAGAAUCUGAAAAAUUAUUAUUGACUCAAUACAAUUUAAUUUGUAAAUUUACUGCUAAAUCUUUAACCUUCA